rnacentral:rRNA from 1 species
UAUAAGGUCUGGCAAUUGGAAUGAGAACAAUUUAAAUCCCUUAUCGAGGAUCAAUUGGAGGGCAAGUCUGGUGCCAGCAGCCGCGGUAAUUCCAGCUCCAAUAGCGUAUAUUAAAGUUGUUGCAGUUAAAAAGCUCGUAGUUGGAUUUCUGGUGGGAGGGAUACGUUCCACAUUCAAUGUGGUAACUAUAUCCUCUCCGGCCAUCCUUGGGUGGAUCCUUUCUGGCAUUAAGUUGUCAGUUAGGGGAUGCCCAUCGUUUACUGUGAAAAAAUUAGAGUGUUCAAAGCAGGCUUAUGCCGUUGAAUAUAUUAGCAUGGAAUAAUGAGAUAGGGCCUUGGAACUAUUUUGUUGGUUUGCGUACCGAGGUAAUGAUUAAUAGGGACAGUUGGGGGUAUUUGUAUUCAGUAUUCAGUGGUGAAAUACUUAGACCUACGGAAGACAAACUACUGCGAAAGCAUUUACCAAGGAUGUUUUCAUUAAUCAAGAGCGAAAGUAUGGGGAUCGAAGAUGAUCAGAUACCGUCGUAGUCUAUACCAUAAACUAUACCGACUGAGGAUGGGAUGGGCGUGUUUUUGCCCUAUUCUGCACUCUAUGAGAAAUCAAAGUCUUU